rnacentral:rRNA from 1 species
UGGGGAAUAUUGCACAAUGGGCGCAAGCCUGAUGCAGCCAUGCCGCGUGUGUGAAGAAGGCCUUCGGGUUGUAAAGCACUUUCAGCGGGGAGGAAGGCGUUAAGGUUAAUAACCUUGGCGAUUGACGUUACCCGCAGAAGAUGCACCGGCUAACUCCGUGCCAGCAGCCGCGGUAAUACGGAGGGUGCAAGCGUUAAUCGGAAUUACUGGGCGUAAAGCGCACGCAGGCGGUCUGUCAAGUCGGAUGUGAAAUCCCCGGGCUCAACCUGGGAACUGCAUUCGAAACUGGCAGGCUAGAGUCUUGUAGAGGGGGGUAGAAUUCCAGGUGUAGCGGUGAAAUGCGUAGAGAUCUGGAGGAAUACCGGUGGCGAAGGCGGCCCCCUGGACAAAGACUGACGCUCAGGUGCGAAAGCGUGGGGAGCAAACAGG